AAUGCAGUCGAACGGCAGCACGGGGGCAACCCUGGUGGCGAGUGGCGAACGGGUGAGUAAUACAUCGGAACGUGUCCUGGAGUGGGGGAUAGCCCGGCGAAAGCCGGAUUAAUACCGCAUACGCUCUGAGGAGGAAAGGGGGGGAUCGCAAGACCUCUCGCUCAAGGGGCGGCCGAUGGCAGAUUAGGUAGUUGGUGGGGUAAAGGCCUACCAAGGCGACGAUCUGUAGCUGGUCUGAGAGGACGACCAGCCACACUGGGACUGAGACACGGCCCAGACUCCUACGGGAGGCAGCAGUGGGGAAUUUUGGACAAUGGGCGCAAGCCUGAUCCAGCAAUGCCGCGUGUGUGAAGAAGGCCUUCGGGUUGUAAAGCACUUUUGUCCGGAAAGAAAACUUCUGUCCUAAUACGGCGGGGGGAUGACGGUACCGGAAGAAUAAGCACCGGCUAA
rnacentral:rRNA from 2 species